UACGGGGGGGGUAAGCGUUGUUCGGAAUUACUGGGCGUAAAGGGCUCGUAGGCGGCCAACUAAGUCAUACGUGAAAUCCCUCAGCUUAACUGGGGAACUGCGUGUGAUACUGGAUGGCUUGGAUUUGGGAGAGGGAUGCGGAAUUCCAGGUGUAGCGGUGAAAUGCGUAGAUAUCAGGAGGAACACCGGUGGCGAAGGCGGGUCUCUGGGCAGUAACUGACGCUGAGGAGCGAAAGCGUGGGGAGCGAACAGG
rnacentral:rRNA from 1 species